rnacentral:rRNA from 1 species
GUUGUAUGGUUAAGUGACUAAGCGUACACGGUGGAUGCCUGGGCAGUCAGAGGCGAUGAAGGACGUACUAACUUGCGAUAAGCGCAGAUAAGGCAGUAAGAGCCGUUUGAGUCUGCGAUUUCCGAAUGGGGAAACCCAACUGCAUAAGCAGUUACUGUUAACUGAAUACAUAGGUUAACAGAGCAAACCGGGGGAACUGAAACAUCUAAGUACCCCGAGGAGAAGAAAUCAACCGAGAUUCCGGUAGUAGCGGCGAGCGAACCU